AGACCAAAAGAGACAAUUUUUUUCCUUAGUUUCUAAAAAAUCAGUCAAAUAUAUUUUUAUAAUGGUGCCAAAAUUGACCCUCGACGACAUAGUUCAUAAAUACUGGUCUUGAAUUGGUCAAUAUGCUUCAAAGGCCAUUUGGAAAAGAUGGAGUAUUCGUUGACUCGAUUCCAACAUCAAAAAUAUCAAGAUUAUAACGAUAUUGAUGGCAAUUUUUGUGAUAAUGGCUGCUGUAUUUGUUCAAUUCUGAUUCAUCCGAAAUUCCUCUCUAGUAAAAAUCUUUCACACGUUAUUUGUAUUCGCUAGUAAAUUACUUUGUUCAUUUACGUCAAAGAUAAUGAACCUCAACCAAUUUACAUCUUCCUUUGCAAUAGCAAAUUUUUUUAUGGUUUAACUUCCCAUGUAUCAGUUGGGAACAAUAAAAUCAGCUGAAACUGCAAGUAAACUGAUUUAAGGAAAGUGUUGAAGCUGGCAACUAAGCAGUUAAAGGUCGAGUUGAAAACAUUGGUAACAUUUACUAAAUUUGGUGGUAAUAAAGCAAAUCAUUGGUACGAGAAAUCUCUUUGUUAAACCAUUUUGUCCAUAAAAUAAUGGGAAAAGAGAUGGAGAAAAGUUAAUAUGGUUGGCUGAUUAUUAAAAACAUGUUAUUAUCAACGACCCUAGUAUCAUUAUUACCAUCAUCAGGUUGAUUAUUAUUAUGAUCAUCAAACUAAACAACAUUCAAACUUCCCUUAACUGUUUACACUGUUUUAACUGUGUAUUAUUAUGUUUAUUAAAAUGAACAAAAUAUUCAGGAAAUGCUUUAGGCAAUGAUACAAUGACUUUGGAGUCUUUAGGAGAGAUCAACCCUUUUAUUAAUAAUGCAAAAUAUUAAUAUAAUUACAAUUAAUGUAAAAAAUUGGGGAAAUCAAAUGAUUAAAAAUUGAAUUGAGCGGUUAAAAGCAAUGGAAGACAUUGGAUUGGACAAUUGAGUGUGUCUUUAUGUUAACUGCUUUUUUAAAAUGUUACAACAUGUAGCAAAAACCAUUUUCAAUUUUGUUCAUAUUUUUAUUAUGAUUAUUAAUUAUCAUUGUAAGUCAAUGAUGAUAAUUUCAAUAACUCGUUAAAACAUUAGUGACUACCUGGUACUGAGAAAAUAAAAUGAAAACAAAAUUUAAUUGGAUAUGAUUAGAUAGUAAUUUUACAAUGAUAGCUGUUGUUACCUGUUGAUUUUACUGUUGAACUGCUGUUUUCUGGUGUCAACUUAUUAUCCAUGGGUCUACGUCUGUUGGUAUUAACAAUGUAUAAAGAUUGGUGGAAUACAAUUAACCAGCAGAUUCGCGCUGUCAAUUUUCUGGUGGAACAACAAUCGGUUUUACCAGUGAUUAGAUGACAUACACAUCAUUUGAUUGUCAAAUAAUGUGUGUUGGUUUAAUGAUCACCUAAACCAAUGGGUGACGAAACUAAUGGCUUACGUAUGUCUUGAUCUUUAAUUAGCAGCACAGUUUAAUACACGUGUGAUUGUGCUGUUAAUUUGGUUAAGGUCAAAGAAGUGGCGAUUUACUGAUGGAUUAAUGUGUUAAAGAUGAAUCAGGAAAUGGUGAUAAACAGGAAUAACAAUGCGAUGAUUAAGGAACCAAAUAUCAACAAGAUUUUAAAUAUCUAUUAAAACCAAUCAACUUGGAAAUAUAGAAUAAUUAUCAUUUAAAUUGGAUCAGAUGAUUAGAGAGCCACUUACGGGGAUAACUGAUUGUCAUAAUGAUGUGACAAUAAUUGGACAGAAAGCCACAACAAUUAAUUGCUGUAAUUUGAUGUUAAUCACUGUUGCAGUAACCAGUGAUGUUAACACAAGGUAAAUGUAAACAAGACAAACAACGGAAAAGGUGAAGUGAUUUGAUUAAGUAUAACUAGACAAGAAAAGGGCGAUUAUGAUGAUCAAGAUGCUUGAAAAAAUGAAGAUGAAGUCCGUUAUUACACCUUAAUCUGAAGAAUAAGAAACUGAAAUUAGCUUGAAGCAAAAUUAAAGUCUGAUAAAUAAUAGUAACCGGUUUAGACCAUCAUUACCGGUAAACCAGAGAUGAUAACCAAAGAAAGUAGCCAACAAGAAGAAAAAUGAAGUUUCCUCUUUUUUUCAAGGAGAGUUUCUUAUUCAUCAUAAUCAUCAUGAAAAGAUUUGCUUUCUUCUUUGUUGAGGUCAUUGAAUUUGUAAAGCUUAAAAGGCAAUGUUAACAUUAGAUUCAAGUUUAGAGUCUAACCAUUUUCAAGGGUUGAAAUGCUUGUAAUCACCAUUAUUGAAAGACUUUUGAUUAAGCUGUCUUUCGCUGAUGUGAUUAUCAUUUCAUUGAUGAAUUAAAUUAAAGAUUAGCUAGUAAA